rnacentral:rRNA from 1 species
CCUACGGGAGGCAGCAGUGAGGAAUAUUGGUCAAUGGCCGGAAGGCUGAACCCGCCAAGCCGCGUGAAGGACGAAGGUGCCAAGCAUUGUAAACUUCUUUUGUCAAGGGACAAAAUCAGGCUCGAGAGCCUGACCGCGGGUACUUGAAGAAAAAGCAUCGGCUAAAUCCGUGCCAGCAGCCGCGGUAAUACGGAGGAUGCUAGCGUUAUCCAGAUUUAUGGGGUUUAAGGGUUUCGUAGACUGACUUUUAAGUCAGGGGUAAAAGCCCGGGGCUCAACCCCAGCGAGCCGUUGAAACUGGCUGUCUUGAGAUGUCGAGAGGGAGGCGGAAGGCGCAGUGUAGCGGUG